rnacentral:rRNA from 2 species
AUAGCGUAUAUUAAAGUUGUUGCAGUUAAAAAGCUCGUAGUUGGAUUUGUGGUGACACUUGUGGUCCAUUUUUGGUACUAACGAGUGUUGCCAUCCUUGGGUGGAACUGUGUGGCAUUAAGUUGUCGUGCAGGGAUGCCCAUCGUUUACUGUGAAAAAAUCAGCGCGUUCAAAGCAGGCUUAUGCCGUUGAAUGUCUUAGCAUGGAAUAAUAAGAUAGGACCUUGGUGCUAUUUUGUUGGUUUGCGUACCGAGGUAAUGAUUAAUAGGGACAGUUGGGGGUAUUCGUAUUCCAUUGUCAGAGGUGAAAUUCUUGGAUUUCUGGAAGACGAACUACUGCGAAAGCAUUUACCAAGGAUGUUUUCAUUAAUCAAGAACGAAAGUUAGGGGAUCGAAGAUGAUUAGAUACCAUCGUAGUCUUAACCAUAAACUAUGCCGACAAGGGAUUGGUGGGGUUUCGUUACGUCUCCAUCAGCACCUUAUGAGAAAUCACAAGUUUUUGGGUUCCGGGGGGAGUAUGGUCGCAAGG